GACGAACGCUGGCGGCGUGCUUAACACAUGCAAGUCGAGCGGUAAGGCCCUUUCGGGGGUACACGAGCGGCGAACGGGUGAGUAACACGUGGGUGACCUGCCCUCAGCUCUGGGAUAAGCCUGGGAAACCGGGUCUAAUACCGGAUAUGACUCCAUGACGCAUGUUGUGGGGUGGAAAGCCUUGUGCGGCUGAGGAUGGGCCCGCGGCCUAUCAGCUUGUUGGUGGGGUGAUGGCCACCAAGGCGACGACGGGUAGCCGGCCUGAGAGGGCGACCGGCCACACUGGGACUGAGACACGGCCCAGACUCCUACGGGAGGCAGCAGUGGGGAAUCUUGCGCAAUGGGCGAAAGCCUGACGCAGCGACGCCGCGUGAGGGAUGACGCCU
rnacentral:rRNA from 1 species